rnacentral:rRNA from 1 species
AUGCCGGUCUCCUCCGUGGCCUCGCCCCUCCUGCUCUCGCUCUCCGCCUCUUCCUCCUCCUUCCUCUCCUCCUCCUCUGUCUCCUUCCUCCCCUCCCCCUCCUCCUCCUCCUCCUUCCCGCACGCCUCCGUCAGGGGGAGGCCGUCCGCCUCCAUCCUCCGCGCGCUGCGGGCCGAGGCCACCACCCUCCCGGUCAUCAACUUCACCGGGGAGAAGGUCGGGGAGGUCGCCCUGGACAUCAAGGCCGCGCCGCCCUCCACCGCGCGCGCCGUCGUGCACCGCGCCCUCAUCACCGACCGCCAGAACGCGCGCCGGGGCACGGCCUCCACCCUCACCCGCGGGGAGGUCCGGGGCGGCGGGAGGAAGCCAUACGGCCAGAAGAAGACCGGGAAGGCGCGGCGCGGGUCGGUCCGUACGCCGCUCCGCCCCGGCGGUGGAGUCAUCUUCGGCCCCAAGCCCCGGGACUGGACCAUCAAGAUCAACCGCAAGGAGAAGCGCCUCGCCAUCUCCACCGCGCUCGCCAGCGCCGCCGUCGCCAACGACUCCUUCGUCGUCCAGGAGUUCGACGAGGAGUUCGCGACGGGCCCCCGGACCAGGGACUUCGUGGCCGCGCUGCAGCGGUGGGGGCUCGACCCCAGGGAGAAGGCCAUGUUCUUCUCCACGGAGCUUGAUAAUAACGUGCGGCUGAGCGGCAGGAACAUCGGCACCCUCAAAAUGCUAACUCCCAGGACUCUCAACCUGUACGACAUCCUCGACGCACGCAAGCAUUUCUUCACCCCGGCCGCCAUUGACUACCUCAACUCGAGGUACGGUACCACCGGUUUUGAUGAAUAUGAGGGUGACGAUGGCGAGGACGACGGUGAAGAGGAAGGGGUGGAGGAGCAAGAGGAGGGAGAAGAAAUCACAGAGGAGGCUGACCAAGAUGCGAUUGGAGAGGCUGAGGCAGACAGCAUUUCCUAG